UCCGAGUUGACCCCGGCAGCUUGCAGUAGCAUGUCAAGCCCUGGUAAGGUUCUUCGCGUUGCAUCGAAUUAAGCCACAUGCUCCACCGCUUGUGCGGGCCCCCGCCAAUUCCUUUGAGUUUCAACCUUGCGGCCGUAGUCCCCAGGCGGUUCACUUAAUGCGUUAGCUGCGGCACCGAGGGAAACCCCCGACACCUAGUGAACAUAGUUUAGGGCCAAGACUAC
rnacentral:misc_RNA from 1 species